GACGAACGCUGGCGGCGUGCUUAACACAUGCAAGUCGUACGGUAAGGCCCUUUCGGGGGUACACGAGUGGCGAACGGGUGAGUAACACGUGAGUAACCUGCCCACAACUUUGGGAUAACGCUAGGAAACUGGUGCUAAUACUGGAUAUGUGCUCCUGCUGCAUGGUGGGGGUUGGAAAGCUCCGGCGGUUGUGGAUGGACUCGCGGCCUAUCAGCUUGUUGGUGGGGUAGUGGCCUACCAAGGCGGCGACGGGGAGCCGGCCUGAGAGGGUGACCGGCCACAUUGGGACUGAGAUACGGCCCAGACUCCUACGGGAGGCAGCAGUGGGGAAUAUUGCACAAUGGGCGCAAGCCUGAUGCAGCAACGCCGCGUGCGGGAUGACGGCCUUCGGGUUGUAAACCGCGUUCAGCAGGGACGAAGCUUUUUGUGACGGUACCUGCAGAAGAAGCACCGGCUAACUACGUG
rnacentral:rRNA from 1 species